UACGUAGGUGGCGAGCGUUAUCCGGAUUUACUGGGCGUAAAGCGUGUGCAGACGGGUCAACAAGUGAUGUAUGAAAACUUCAUGCUCAACAUGGAGCGGGUAUGUCAGACUGUUGGUCUAGGGUAAGUGAGAGGGAGAUGGAAUUCCGGGUGUAGUGGUGAAAUGCGUAGAGAUCCGGAGGAACCCCAGAGGCGAAGGCAGUCUCCUGGCACUUAACCGACGUUCAGACACGACAGCACGGGUAGCGAACGGG
rnacentral:rRNA from 1 species